UGGACUGACACUGACAAUGAGGGUGCGAAAGGCGUUGGGUAGCAAACCAGGAUUCAGAUACCCUGGUAGUCAACGCCGUAAACCGAUGUCGACCAGCCGUUGGGUGCCUUAGCGCACUUUGUGGCGAAGUUAACGCGAUAAGUCGACCGCCUGGGGAGUACGGCCGCAAGGUUAAAACUCAAAUGAAUUGACGGGGGCCCGCACAAGCGGUGGAGCAUGUGGUUUAAUUCGAUGCAACGCGAAGAACCUUACCUACUCUUGACAUCCUGCGAACUUGUGAGAGAUCACUUGGUGCCUUCGGGAACGCAGAGACAGGUGCUGCAUGGCUGUCGUCAGCUCGUGUUGUGAAAUGUUGGGUUAAGUCCCGUAACGAGCGCAACCCUUGUCCUUAUUUGCCAGCGCGUAAUGGCGGGAACUCUAAGGAGACUGCCGGUGACAAACCGGAGGAAGGUGGGGACGACGUCAAGUCAUCAUGGCCCUUACGAGUAGGGCUACACACGUGCUACAAUGGCCGGUACAAAGGGUUGCGAGCUCGCGAGAGUCAGCUAAUCCCGAAAAGCCGGUCUCAGUCCGGAUCGGAGUCUGCAACUCGACUCCGUGAAGUCGGAAUCGCUAGUAAUCGUGAAUCAGAAUGUCACGGUGAAUACGUUCCCGGGCCUUGUACACACCGCCCGUCACACCAUGGGAGUGGACUGCACCAGAAGUGGUAGCUUAACCUCGGAAAGCGUCA
rnacentral:rRNA from 1 species